CAAGAAUAUCCUCUUUAUCCUUUUCUGUCAGAGUGGGAAGAUCUACCACUACACCAGGAAGAUUCACAUUCUUUCUUUCUCCUAACAUUGCAGUGUUUUCACAACGACAGACCACCCUCCCAGCUUCUGGAUCACAAGACAAGACUGUGAGGGUGAUUGUGCCAUCUGAACACAAUAUAUUAUUUCCUGGCUUCAAGUCCACAGCAAGCUUCUGAUAACUCAUUGAGAUCAUUUCCUCAUCCCCCUUGAUGCUAUAAUCCGUAGUUAUGAUCACUUCUUGACCUUCUUUCAG
rnacentral:misc_RNA from 1 species